AUGAUAGCUUUGUCAUCACAUCUAUGAAGACUGGAACAAAACAGAGAACAUUAGCUUGACCCCUGCACAAGGAUGACAUACAAAUUCAUGAAUCAUUCCAUAUUUUU